GGUGUGAAACAGAGUGAAACUUCCAGUGGUUAGUAUGUUUGUGUGUCUGGAUUCUCCUGGGAAUAUGCAUGUUUUCUGGAUAUCAUUCUACAGGAUAUGAAAGAUGCUUCUGAAGAGGAAGGAAUUUACUUCUUGGGAAAAGUCACAUACAACCAGGGUGGUUCCCCCAUGCAGACUUCCAGCUUGGAGGAGGCAAAGGGAAAGAAUUUUCCACACCUAAACCUGAGUCAUUCAUACUACACAUGUAUUUAUUGAAUUCAACUGGAUGGAGCCCCAUUCUCUGAAAGAACACAGAUG